UGCGGUGUGGAGAAGUCAGGAAUCUCGCUUGGCUCAUAACCAGGAGGUCGUUGGUUCGAAUCCAACCACCGCUACCA
rnacentral:tRNA from 1 species